rnacentral:rRNA from 1 species
AUGUUUCCACAUUCAUCUACUCUUCCUAUGCAUCAACCAUUUGAGUCAGUCAUGGCAAAAUUUGGAGUGAAAACAAGGUCAUCUGAGCAGUCAGUGCUACCUGUCAAUGCAGAUUUCUUGUUGGUUAGAGAUAGCUCCUCAGAGGAGGUUUCAGAGACAGAUGACCAGUCGUAUCCCCCCCGAGGUGUAUGCUCUAACUUGGCAGGGUUAUAUUGCUCAUAUCAUGCAUAUGUUGUGUUGCAUUGCCAUGCCAUCUGCUUAGAUUAUACAUGCUUUGUGUUAAUGCCUCCUGUUUGUUUUCUAUAUCUGAUAAGGGAAUUAUGCAAUGCCAUGUUUUUAGCCAGUUAUCAUAUGUGUGAAUUACGCACUGCCAUCCUGUGUAGCCAGGCAUCACAUAUGUGA